UUAAUCUCAGAAAUUUGUCUUUCAUAUUCAAUAUCUCUCUGUCAUCCUGAUUUUGACGUUUUUUUCCCCUCUUCUCUUGUUUACUUAACCAAACGAAAUCAGGCUAUUUUCGAGCACUAUCUCAUCGGAGGAACGGUUGAUCACAAUUUGAAUAAAAAUACAGGAGCAGCAAUGGAGAUGCAUAUGCCAGAUCAUGCAGCGAGGUACUCCUUUUUGGCGACUUGUGCUGAAACAAUUUGAUGAUUUACUUGUGCAGAUACUAAUUGUAGUUGCUAUGGUCUCCUUCCGUUUGGCAUUGGCUAAUGGAGAGACAGGGUUAUCUGUCUUCUUAGAGCCUUCAGUAAGAUAUCAUAUUUAUCAGUUACUACAGCGCAUAUCCAUUUCAUUUAUAGCAUGUGAUAUGUCAAAAUAACUUUAUUGAGCAUAGAAAAUGCUAUUAGCUUUCUGAAACUUGAGUACGAGCGGAUUGUUAGCAACAAACGGGCACACGUGUCUGUUUCAUGCAUUAAUUACAUAGCUGAGUUGCAGUGUGAUGAGAAAAAGAAUGCAUCAGAUAUUAUUUGCAAGAAUUUUUUGCUCCAGUAUUUUGAUCAUUCCUUGUUUAUCCAAAGUUUCUGAAUGAGACAUAUCCAUGGAAUUAUUAAGGUUCAUGGGAAAGAAAUUCAAGGGAUUAUGCGACAAUAACAUCAAGAUUGCCAAAAGCAUGAAACGUUUCAUCAAAUCUUUAGCUUCUUUCUUGUUGGCAUCACAGGUCGUUUAGUUUAGAGACUUCAGUACCUGGUAUGCAGGAACUACGUGCAUACCAAGCUGAUGUUGCAACUGUCCUACGAAAUGGUAAUACAGACUCUUCUGUUGUUUCUCAAUCUUACCCGCUGUCCCUGGAGAUAUUGUAGAAGUCACCGUUGGAUGCAAGAUUCCAGCAGAUAUGAGGAUGAUAGAAAUGCUUAAGUGAUUAAUCACAUGUUGAUCAAGCAAUUCUUACAGGUACUUUCAUGCCUUAGAAAAAGAACUAUGAAGGUAUCCACUGUAAUAUUAUUGUUGAUUUUAUGAGAACUAUCAUUAGAAUCAUUUUGUUUCCAUAUAUAUGAAAACUCAAAAUCACUGGUAAGUUUCACGGAACAAACAAUGUGGGGUCUUGAUUCCCUUUUUUAUAGUGUUUUUCGUGUUCAUUUGCUGAAUUCUGAUAUACAUAUAUUUUGGAUGAUACAAAAUUCAAUAAUUGCUUCAACGGGCCAUCUUGUGAUGUGAAGAAGAACAAAAUGAAAUGACGAAUUGAGAUCCGGUUCUUUUUAUUGGACUUUGAAGUAUCUCAAUCAAUUUUCUCAUGAGACAAUCACAUUGCAGUUGAGCUUGUUCGUUAUACUUCGUUGCUGGGAUCUCAAUCCUACUUUGAAUUGCCUGUUGUGUUUGACUUGGGAGUUGCAAAGGUGAUAUUGCAAAAUCUUCUGUUAGAGGGUUGAUUGCAAGGUCAAUCCUUCUGUGAGGACGCCUGCACAGUUCGGACAGAUCUAACAUGUUCACAUUUGCUCUGUAUAUUGUCCCUUUUCUUUAGGGUUAUUGCCCCUUUCUAGUUAAAGUUUCUAGUUCAGGAAAGGAACAGUAUUUGUAAACAUCUUUACAAGACAAGAAGCUUCAAAUGUUACUGUAGGGUUAUGGUGAAUAAUGUGGUGGAUUUCGACACUUGUUCCACAAGGGAAACAAGCUAUCCUUGCACCGUGUUUAGUGAUAAGCAUCCUUCAACGGUUUCAAUGACUAUACUUGUUGUUGAGAUGUUGAACAACCUUAGUGAAAACCAGUCACUCUUGUGAGUACGUACCCACUCAUCUGUAACUUAAUAGCAUAAACCUUAGGUGUACACACACAUCGGAGCUUUUUGCUGCUCCGUACCUAAUUGAGUUGAUAUGUUUGAGCCACAUUGCAUAUUGUUUGCUUCUUAAAGCUAGCUUAUGAGAAUGUUUAAUCUGAAAUAUCUUCUUCCUCUUU